rnacentral:rRNA from 1 species
GAUGAACGCUGGCGGCGUGCCUAAUACAUGCAAGUCGAGCGAACAGACGAGGAGCUUGCUCCUCUGACGUUAGCGGCGGACGGGUGAGUAACACGUGGAUAACCUACCUAUAAGACUGGGAUAACUUCGGGAAACCUGAGCUAAUACCGGAUAAUAUAUUGAACCGCAUGGUUCAAUAGUGAAAGACGGUUUUGCUGUCACUUAUAGAUGGAUCCGCGCCGCAUAAGCUAGUUGGUAAGGUAACGGCUUACCAAGGCAACGAUGCGUAGCCGACCUGAUAGGGUGAUCGGCCACACUGGAACUGAGACACGGUCCAGACUCCUACGGGAGGCAGCAGUAGGGAAUCUUCCGCAAUGGGCGAAAGCCUGACGGAGCAACGCCGCGUGAGUGAUGAAGGUCUUCGGAUCGUAAAACUCUGUUAUUAGGGAAGAACAAAUGUGUAAGUAACUAUGCACGUCUUGACGGUACCUAAUCAGAAAGCCACGGCUAACUACGUG